UCCAUGAGUGGUACCGCCAACUCUGGCAGCAUGCCCGGAAGGUGAAGCAGGAGCGCGACAAGGCAAGGAAUACAAUGAACGAGCUAGGAGCCUAGCUAAAGGGAUUAUAGAUCCAGUGCGACGCUACUCGGCUAUGGGCUACCAAAGUUGGGAAUGAGAAGUAAGUGGCUGUACAAUGGAAGGCUUCUGCCGAGUGGGUACUCCGAGCUGUGGAGGCAUACAAGGCCUCUCAGGAUUUUCAGAAGGACCUUGCUUCUGGUUCUACCGACUCCUACCUAUAUGGCUUCUAUGACUACUAGUGGAUGGCAAUGAAGCCCUUAAGUUCGACUUUAGUUGCAUUGUCCUACCUAAAGACGACGAGAAGGAGGACGUCGAGGAGGAGAUGAGGCCAAGACCACCGAACUGGAGGAGGGUACCGCUAAGCAAGUGUAGCAAGGUGAAGGUGCCGUUGACGCCCCUCCCCUGCCUAUUGCUAAUCUUCCUCAAGCCGCCGAGGUCCCCCCACCAAGUUCCAAGCAAUAGACCUAAUCCUACUAGAUUUUCCAAACAAAUAUCAAAUUUAGUAAAAUCCCUAUAAAAAAUCCAACCUAA
rnacentral:lncRNA from 1 species